rnacentral:rRNA from 1 species
AGCAGCCGCGGUAAUUCCAGCUCCAAUAGCGUAUAUUAAAGUUGUUGCAGUUAAAAAGCUCGUAGUUGAAUUUCGGGAUUGACAUAUCGGUCGUGCCUUAAGGGGUAUGAACUGGUGUAGUCAAUUUCUCACCUUCUGGAGAACCGCGAUGCCCUUAAUUGGGUGUCACGGGGAACCAGGACCUUUACUUUGAAAAAUUAGAGUGUUUAAAGCAGGCAUUUUGCUUGAAUACAUUAGCAUGGAAUAAUAAAGUAGGACGGCAUGAUUCUAUUUUGUUGGUUUCUAGGAUCACCGUAAUGAUUAAUAGGGAUAGUUGGGGGCAUUAGUAUUCAAUUGUCAGAGGUGAAAUUCUUGGAUUUAUUGAAGACUAACUACUGCGAAAGCAUUUGCCAAGGAUGUUUUCAUUAAUACAAGAACGAAAGUUAGGGGAUCGAAGACGAUCAGAUACCGUCGUAGUCUUAACCAUAAACUAUAGCCGACUAGGGA